GAACUUCUAAUAGUAUUGACGAAGGAAAGUGCAGGGGGACUGGAAAAUGAAUAUAUUUGGUUUUUUUGGUAGGAUUUUUUUUUUUUUUUGAUAAUAUUUGUUUUAGUGAACAUUAAUUCAACAGGAAUAUUUGUGAAAAAUGCAAAUUUUAUUACAAGAAUGAAACUAGACUUUUGGUCUGUAAUUUAUGAUUAAGAGGUGUUUGAUAUGUCAUUAUA
rnacentral:lncRNA from 1 species